ACCCUAUAUCAGGGAAAGAAAUAGAAGUCUGUGGCUCAGACUUGUGGGAGUGAGGGCAUCCUAUAUUUUUAAUAUUUCCUGGACACCCUGUGUUCUGGGCCCCAUUACAAAUCCCUUUUUGGUGGGAGGGCCCUCGCUGCACCCUGUUAUACUUCUAGAUUAAAAAGAUCUGCAUUUGAAUCUGAUUUCAUUAUUUUCUCUCAGAGAUCUGAAUGAGAUACUUCAUCUCUCUGUUUCUUUCUCUCAAAGAGUGAGGAUAGUGGUAACUACUCUGAGAUUGGAG